rnacentral:antisense_RNA from 1 species
CCUAGACAGAGGGAAACAAGAGCUAGACUACCUGCUCGUGAUCCCAGGAGGCUAAUGGAACACUGAUGUAUCACGGUUCCUGCCUUGUGAAUUUGGAAGCAGGAUUCUGCUCCUAGGCUCUUGAUGAAGAAAUGUUUAACAUCAGAGUAAGUAUUCUAGAGAUUAAUGGCUGCUGUUUGGAAAGGUCCAUAGACGUCCUUUCCUGCCAAUACAAAUAUAUACAUUGUUGAAGCACAAGACUAUAUCCACAGAUAGGAUUACAUGUUAACGGAAAAGAUUCAAGAAAGAGAAGAUGGGCCAUCAGUGAAAACUGUGGUUGCAAUGAAGCAACCGAUUUCACAGCUAAGGCAAGAACACUGCACUUCCUCCUCAUGCUUUCUGGUUGUUAAACUCCCACUGAGAAGCAUGAAAAAGGGCAAGAUGCACUUGAGGAGAUAAAGCAGACCUUUGAAGGGAAACCAAACAUCAGUUCAAGUUGUGACUUACAGACCAGAAAAGAUAUUCCAAGUUUUUGUGAAU